rnacentral:misc_RNA from 1 species
UUAGGACUUAUAGUUUUAAGGGUUUCCACAGAACUUAAGGUGAGUCUUUUUGGAAUUUAAUGUUUUACAUGAUAAAAUGGACAGUGAAAAAAGUUUGGAAGGUGGAAACAUUAUUUUUUACAAGAUUUGUUUAUGAUUGCAUUAUUUCAGGUGUUGACAUAACCUUUGCCAGUACACUGUUGGAAAUUUGUUGCUGACUUUUGUAAGGGCUGACAAGGGGACGAUGCCAAGACGAGGAACGAGAGUGGAAUAGUGGAAGCUUUUACUCAUUACUGCCAAGCCAGUGCAGUGUUGGUGUAAGGAAUGCCAAGGGGAUGACACCAAGAUGAGCUAAGGGGAAGGUGCCAAGACGAGCAACGAGAUUGGAGUGAUGGAAAUUUUUGCUAAGUGCUGCCAAGCCAGAAAGGCUUGUGCCAGUGCAGUGUUGGUGUAAGGGAUGGCAAGGGGACGGGCAACGAGACCUGCCCUGACUUUCACCUGCAAUGAGUUGUCUUAGAUGCUCUGAGAUGCCAAGGGGACGAUGCCAAGACGAGGAACGAGAGUGGAAUGGUGGGAGCUUUUACUCAUUACUGCCAAGCCAGUGCAGUGUUGGUGUAAGGGAUGCCAAGGGGACGAUGCCAAGACGAGGAACGAGAGUGGAAUGGUGGAAGCUUUUACUUAUUACUGCCAAGCCAGUGCAGUGUUGGUGUAAGGAAUGCCAAGGGGAUGACGCCAAGAUGAGCUAAGGGGAAGUGAUGGAAAUUUUUGCUAAGUGCUGCCAAGCCAGAAAGGCUUGUGCCAGUGCAGUGUUGGUGUAAGAGAUGCCAAGGGGACGAUGCCAAGACGAGGAACGAGAGUGGAAUGGUGGAAGCUUUUACUCAUUACUGCCAAGCCAGUGCAGUGUUGGUGUAAGGGAUGCCAAGGGGACGACGCCAAGACAAGCAGUGAGAUCUGCCCUGACUUUUACCUGUGUGGAACUUUUUUUGUGUGUGUGUGUGUGUGUGUGUGUGUGUCGAGGUGAGUUAUUCCUGAAGAUAUUGUUCUAUUUCAUAUGUAUACACCUAUUUCUUUAGUGCCUCCCAAGGCAGGCACCACACAUGGAUGCUUUCACGUAGGUGUGGAGCUAUUGUGUGUGGUACGAGACAGCUCUCGUUAUGAAGAAGCCUUGUUUCAAACCAACUUCUUUUAAGAGGAAGGUUUCAAGACAUCUGUUACUUUAUUUUGGCUGACUUUGAUGUGCAAGAGGACUGGCAAUUGUAGGCUUUUUUUACUUGGUCAGUUUCCUUCCUUACAUAAUAUACACACACACACACACACACACACACACACAUACAUACAUACAGUCGCAAAAGAUAAGGCGCGCUCUGAAAAAAAAAUAAUUAUGGUUAGCGCAUCAGAACAUGGGCAGUAACAUUCACCGAGCCUUCCUAACAUUUUGUUGUGUUCCCUUUCCUCUUGAUCACCUCUCGUAGACGCCUGGGGACACUAUCAGCAAGGUUUUCCAUGUGAGACGGAUAUUAGCCCAGAGCUGCUGAAUUGCAGUGGUAAGCUUGGGUACAGAUGAGGUGUCAAGGUUGCGCAAUCCUCUUUUUAUAAUUGACCACAGGUUCUCAAUCGGGUUGAUGUCAGGACUAUUUCCUGGCCAGUCCUUAAAGUAGUUUACCAUGCAGUCAUCUAGCCAAGUAACAACUGACUUGGCGGUAUGGCAGGGAGCACCGUCCUGCAUAAAAAUUCAUGCCCGAGUUUUCUCAAAAGAGUUUGGCAAAUGGUCACACAGUAACUCAAGAUAUACUCCCUGGUUCACUUUAAUGUUCUUUGGCAGCACCACUAAACUGCCAACACCAUAAUAGCUGAAACAGCCCCAUACCAUAAUCGAAUCAGGGUGCUUAACAGUCUUUGUGGUGAACUUGGGGUCCAGAGCGUCACUGUGGGGCCGGCGGUACACCUUGUCAUACCGGCUCCCAGUCACUGUGAAGGUUGCCUCGUCACUCCAUAAUACUCCUCUCCAAUCCUCAUCUGACCACACACUAUAUUUCUUGGCAAAUUUCAAUCUCAGCCCUCUGGACAGUGGUUAGCAGCGGUUUACAUCUGGCCCGGUAGCUAUGAUAACCCAAGUCAUCAUGGAGAAAUUGUUGAAUGCUACGUACUGAUGCGUUGCCAAGCAAAUCUGGGUUAGUUUCCUUCAGUUCUCUUGCUGUACUUCGAGGCCUGCAUUUAGCCUAGUUUUAGCCAUAGUACCGAUUCCGCUGAAAUUUAAGGCGCAACCUCUACCGCGCCUUAUCUUUUCGCGCCGACUGUAUAUAAUCAUACCCAUGGUUUGUAAUUACGUAUCAGCAUAAAAUGAGUUGUCAAAAAUUAUUUGUACUGUUAUAAACAAAGGUGGAUGUUAGUGUUUGAAAAUCUAAUGUUAGUUAAUUACUGGUGAGGCUGUGAUGGACAGAUAGUUGUUGUGGUGGAGAGAGCUGUCUUGAUAAAACGCUGAACACAUUAUGGUAAUAAACGAUAGGAUAUUUAUUUUUAAUAUUAGCUCAGAAAAUUUGUUGGAGGAAAAUAAUAACAAGGUCAAAGGUUUGUAAUUAUUUAGAAAUGUGAUGCCCUGCUGUGCUUGUUAUUGUGAUAGCAACCAUCUCCAUCUUAAUGCAGCAGCUAGCAUGCUAACCUAACUAGAUGUAAACUAACAGCUGAAUCUAACAUAACAACCUAACCAAACAAGUGUUGCAUAGAUAAGAUUUAGUCAGGUAAGGAUGAUUGUGGCAAGAUCAAGGUCAAGAACAUGGAGCUCCUCACAACAAAAUACACCAGGGCUACUAUCUGGCAUACAAGUAAGAGGCUAAGGUUACAGGGAUGUCUUGAACUAUGCAAGGGAUUCAUUCCUAAAGGGAUUGUGAAUAGUGAAUAUGAUUGCUGACCUAGACCGUACAGUAUAUAUCAAAUCUAGAGGGUUGCAUUCAGCCAACAUUAAGUUUAAGACUACAUGUUGGCAGUACACAGGGGAAACGCCGGUGACACCUGGGGCCGUAUUGUAUAGCAUUUUCAUAUAUAAGACAUCCACCAAGAAUUUGCAUUUCCAUCAUAUCAAGCUGAUUUUUUCACAAGUGAGAUUUCCCAUGCUUUAAGUUAGGUUCCAUUGAAAAGAAAGUAUAAAACAACUGUGAAAACUAGGACUCUAUUGUAUAUAUACACACUAUGUAUUUAGAAAAUGAGUGAAGCUUCAUUAGAAAAGGUUAUGUGAAUAUCUUCAUUGUGAGGAGUAAAUGUUUGCAACACCAACUUGAUAUCACCACCAUUGAUAUUCUAGAGCAGUGGUUUCCAAACUGUGGUAUGCGAAGGUCUUCCAGGUGCUUCGUGAGGACUUUCUGGAUCGUAUGCGAUUUUAAUUAAAUUACAUUAAUUCAUAUCUCAGAAAAAUUAUUAUCCCUUGCAUUAAACUGAUUUAUGUUCCGUGUUAUUAGUAUGUUCUACUUGUGAAUAGAUUGAUAUUUGCUGGAAAUGAGUUUUCUGGAGCCAGGUGGUACACAGCGACUGUAUGGGACCCCCAAUUUGUACGCUCAGGAAAAGGUUGGGAACCACUUUUCUUGAGAGUAGGAAUAUUAACAUAAAUGGUUUCAAGAUUAUUGUUAUAAAAGAUUGUAAGUUUAUAAUGUAAAAGGAACAGUAAAAGCAUCGUUACACAUAUAGACAGCCAAUUUAAUUGUAGUUUCUUGUCACCUUUUCAAAGUUGUAUGUUAUUCCAUUUUAGGACUUGAAGGUAGAAACAGGACGAUUUCUCUUGCGAGCCUUAGCUUCUACAAUCAUCUGUGCUUGUCGCUUGAUAAACUUGCGUGUCAAGGUCUCCUCUUCUUCUCCACUAUCUGCUCCUUCUUCAACCUGGAAAAGCAUAUUGUUCUUUUUUUAACGUAUUUCUAUAUUUCUUCCUGUGAAGCAUAUGGGAGUCAUAUAUGCAAGAGGUGUGACAUUUGAUCAUUGAAAUCCACCAUAUAUGAUCAGCUUGUUGCUUAUCAAAUUAAAUUAAUAAUCUGU